rnacentral:rRNA from 1 species
GACGAACGCUGGCGGCGCGCUUAACACAUGCAAGUCGAACGGAAAGGCCUGCUUUCCCUUGUGGAUUGCGGGUACUCGAGUGGCGAACGGGUGAGUAACACGUGAGUGAUCUGCCCCCAACUUGGGUAUAAGCCUGGGAAACUGGGUCUAAUUCCCGAUAGGACUGCAGGGUGGUGCCUGUGGUGGAAAACGAUUUUCUAGUGGUUGGGGAUGAGCUCGCGGCCUAUCAGCUUGUUGGUGGGGUAAUGGCCUACCAAGGCGGCGACGGGUAGCCGGCCUGAGAGGGUGGACGGCCACAGUGGGACUGAGAGACGGCCCAGACUCCUACGGGAGGCAGCAGUGGGGAAUAUUGCACAAUGGGCGGAAGCCUGAUGCAGCGACGCCGCGUGGGGGAUGACGGCCUUCGGGUUGUAAACUCCUUUCGACCGCGAGGAAGCCACCUGGUUGGAAGGGUGGUGACGGUAGUGGUAGAAGAAGCACCGGCUAACUACGUG